GGAAUAUUGCACAAUGGGCGAAAGCCUGAUGCAGCGACGCCGCGGGAGUGAAGAAGUAUUUCGGUAUGUAAAGCUCUAUCAGCAGGGAAGAACAUGACGGUACCUGUCUAAGAAGCCCCGGCGAACUACGUGCCAUCAGCCGCGGUAAUACGGAGGGGGCAAGCGUUAUCCGGAUUUACUGGGUGUAAAGGGAGCGUAGACGGCGAAGCAAGUCUGAAGUGAAAACCCAGGGCUCAACCCUGGGACUGCUUUGGAAACUGUUUUGCUAGAGUGUCGGAGAGGUAAGUGGAAUUCCUAGUGUAGCGGUGAAAUGCGUAGAUAUUAGGAGGAACACCAGUGGCGAAGGCGGCUUACUGGAAGAUAACUGACGUUGAGGCUCGAAAGCGUGGGGAGCAAACAG
rnacentral:rRNA from 1 species